AGCAGUGCGCAUCAAGAUGGCUAGCGUUAGAGGAAACAUCGGAGAGAUUCAGCCAUACAUGUAUGAGCCUCAGUCAGACCCAUACUCAGAUGAGGAGUUUGUUGAGCACCAAAAUCAGUGACUACCAGACGUGUCAGAAUGGAGCCCUUAGAUCCUCUACUGCUGGCUUUCCAGCCAACCAAAACUGGAGAUGCAGCUUUUUUCAGCUAUGCUCCCAAACUGUGGAAGAGCCGACCCAAAGGAAACAUGUUGUCCCUCUGGGCCGCUGAAUAAAGAGAAAACACAGACAAGCCCGGUGCUUCAUUACAGUCAUGGGAAGACGAAAAGAUGCUCCAUCAAAAUAAACCUGCA